AACCUUCAGCUCCUGUCCCCCACUCCCUGGACCUCUGAAGAGAGGAGAGGGGCUGACGGUUGAGUUGAUCACUACUGCCAAUGACUUAAUCAAUCAUAUCUAUGUAAUUAUGCCUCCACAAAAUCCAAAAAGACUAAUUUCAAAGAACUUCUCGGUUAGUGAAAAUAUUUGCAUGCCAGGAGGCGCUCGCACUCCAACUCAACAGCAUGGAACAGGUGCCUGUUUCAGUCUCUUAUUUAAGCACCGCAGAUGCGUUGAAACCUAAUAAAAAUUGUUCCCUGGCACAUCAACCCUAACCAGAGAGUAAGAAGCUAAAAAUCUGUGAAUCGCCUACAACCAAAGGGAAGUCUUUUGAGAGCUGCAUUGUUAAAACUCUCAGAACAGGUCAAGAGAUCAGAGUAACCUUUGAGCUAAUGAGGACACUAGGUGACAUCAAGCCCAAACACUUUCUGAGCAAGUGGCUGGUCCUGAGAGGUGAUCAAGGUCACACAACUAUAAGAUAUAAGCAGGAACUGAAAUAUCACAUCUCCAGACUCAUCACUUGGUGUGUUUUUUCUCCUUUUGUUACAUUGCUCCCCAUCCUAGCUUUUCUAUGGCUGGUGGGCCAGAAAAUAUUGGUUAAUUCAAUUUUAGAAAAAAAAAAAAACCCAAAACUAAAGAAAUGAAAACAAUACGGGAGGGAAAACAAAAUGUAGGGUUGGUGUGAGCAGGCUUUUAGCUUUUCAGUUAGGUUUUCAACGCUUCAGGAAUCCAGGGCAUGGCUGUCAAUUAUGGCUGUGCUUUUGUUCACUUUGAUUCUGUUUUGAUAUUUUCUCUUUGACAUUUUAGAAGUUGCUUUGGAUUGAACUAACCACGUUGCUUAUACCACCAAUUAUGAUCAAUUGUCAAAAAAGAGCCACAUUAUGCCCUCCAUACUGUUAGGUUGCUGCUUCUUUGUUCCAGAUAAUUCUACCUGAGAUAAAGCAAAAAUCACAAUGCUGGACCUAGGAAAGGUAACUACCCAAAGUGGGUUCUAAUGAAAAUAUUAAUGAAAUAGUCAAAGUGAUAAAUGCAUAAAAUGUAAAAAAAAAGAGUAGAGAUUUGAUGCACUUUAGAAAUACUCUAAGAAUCACUACAUUUAUAUUUUAGGAUGCCAAGAGGUAUUUCUAGAAGGAAUAAAAUUAACAUAUCAGUAUGGUUUUAUAGAAAGAAUUCUAAAGCAAGAUUUAAAAGUCCUGAAUUUAGCUGUUUAUCAAGGUAUUGGUCAUUAAAUUCCUUGAUUCUCUGUUUCCCCAUCAGAUGAGAAUUAUACAACUCACAUAUUUGCUUUUAUUGUUAGAAAUAUAUAAAAGUAUGUGAAAAUGUGUUUACAUAUUGAAUGUAUUUUUUGUGGACUUAAAGAAGGGUUGUUUCCUGGGCUGAGACUUAUUUUACUGGUUGUGUUAUACUGAUUUUCCAUGUGCAUUUGCUAGGAAGAAAAUAGUAAUAGGAUUUUUAUUUUUUAAAUGUGAGGCUUACCAAUCAGGCUAUAAGAUGGAUGAAUUCAACCACACAGCAAACAAUUUUUUAUUCUUUAUGCUUCUGUGUUAUCUUCCCUCCAUUUCUCUCCACGUCCCACAUUCCAUCACCCCAUUCUGAUCACUGUCAAUCACUGCACUGUUUUUUCCUUGCUCUGAUCUCUUAACCAGAUAGAUUCACAACUGACAGGAACAUAUCGGGAGAGACACAACAACUCACAACAUACAAGCCAUAUAUGAACCUGACAGCCCCUAUUGGGGUGGAUGCGCACAGGAUAAUGAUAGAGCAGUUGACAAAUAACUAGCAGUUUGGCUCAUUUACACUGAAGAGUUUUGCAUGCUGGGGUAGUUAUGUGCCUAUUUAUUGCACCUUCAUAGGCAGUAUAAAUCUGAUUU